rnacentral:rRNA from 1 species
UGCGUAGGUGGUUUGAUAAGUCAGAGGUGAAAGCCCACCGCUUAACGGUGGAAUUGCCUUUGAUACUGUCAGACUUGAAUAAGGUUGAGGUCGGCGGAAUGUGUCAUGUAGCGGUGAAAUGCAUAGAUGUGACAUAGAACACCAAUUGCGAAGGCAGCUGGCUAGACCUUUAUUGACACUGAGGCACGAAAGCGUGGGGAGCGAACAGGAUUAGAUACCCUGGUAGUCC